CAGAGUGGUGUCCGCAGAGCCUGUGGCAGCAGGGGCCUGGCUGGGCAGGACGCCUGAGUUGUUGCAAAGCUUGGCCACCCCAAGCUGUGUCCACAGGGCUGUCUCUGCCAGGACCUCUCCAGCCAGCACUCCGGUUCGUUCAGAUGACGCUUGCCCUGAGCCAUCAGGCAGGAGUGGGGGGCACAGGCCUCUCUACUCGGCUCUCUCAUCGCCGGCAGGUGUGUUGGGCGAGCUCACAGUGGAGCACCGCAAAAGCAUGGUGGCUUGGCUUUAAUAAACACCUGCCGAGCUCCCGAGCCAUCUCCACUGGAAUCUGGCAUAGCCCUUGCUUUCUGUCCCAGCCUCUGUGAAGCAGGUGCAGACGGAAGGGAGUUAUCUGGUACAGAAGGAGGAAGUCCUGGACUCAGGGUUCAGAAUUAGGGUGUACACUAGCCCUGAUGGCCCUGGGACUAAGUCAUAAGUCAGCGGACCCUUUAUGAAGCCAGGAAGUUACUGGAGUGUGCAGCGUCUCCUUAGUGCCACAAUGGCUGUUUUAUCGAGCACUUGGGCAUCCUUUUCUGGAUGACUGUUAUGUCACAGGCGACAUCCGGGAAACCCCAAGAGUGCCAGUGAGAAAGCUCUGGACACCUGGCUGAAGCCCUGACAAGGCAUCUCUCUGGCUUCCUACAAAAUGAGAUUUCAGAACACAUCAAUCACUGGACUACUUAAUAAACUUCAACCAACAGCGACCGAAAACUACCACCAACCACCAAUAGCCAAUAACCCCUCCCCAAAACACCACUAACCCCCACUUCCUACCCUAAUUAGGGCUCUAGCAUUUAAACUCCUUCUGAAAAAUUCCCAGAUUUCAAAUGUCACACAAUCACAGAAACCAUCUGCAGCUGGCAAAGUCACACACCCCCUCUAGAGCACCAGGCAAAUCAUAACCAGCUUCAGUGAAGCAGCCCCCAUAGCCCACUCCUGUGAUUAAAAUGAAACCAUACUCUUAUAAUAGUUCUGUUUUCCUUUUUUUUUAAGAAACCAAAAUUCUGUAUUUCUCACUGUCUUAGUCAGGGUCUGUAUUCCUGC